CACUAAGAAGCUAAACAGCAUUAACCUUUUAAGUUAAAGACUGAGAGUCUGAAUCUCUCCUUAGUGA
rnacentral:tRNA from 1 species